rnacentral:tRNA from 1 species
CGGGACGUGGCCCAGCCUGGUAGGGCGCCUGCUUCGGAUGCAGGAGGUCGCAGGUUCAAAUCCUGCCGUCCCGA